rnacentral:rRNA from 1 species
CGCGUAGGCGGCUAUUCAAGUCGCAAGUGAAAUACCAGGGCUUAACCUUGGGGGGUCUUGCGAAACUGAGUGGCUUGAGUGCAGUAGAGGUAAGCGGAAUUCCUGGUGUAGCGGUAAAAUGCGUAGAGAUCAGGAGGAACACCGGUGGCGAAGGCGGCUUACUGGGCUGCAACUGACGCUGAGGCGCGAAAGCGUGGGGAGCAAACAGGAUUAGAUACCCUGGUAGUCCACGCGGUAAACGAUGAUUACUAGGUGUGGGUAUCGCAGGAUAUCCGUGCCGGAGCAAACGCAAUAAGUAAUCCGCCUGGGGAGUACGGCCGCAAGGUUGAA